UCAGUUCUUAAGUGUUUCUUCACCUUCCCGCUGGGGAUGCACUUUGACCCCCCCCCCCCCCGUCCCCACGUCGUGUCUCUGGUUUUAUUUCUGAGAGGUGACGCUGACCAAACUCGCCUUACCACGAGUUAAGCCUCUAAGUCUCUGCACAGCUUGUAUGGGUGCCCGAACUUCCCUGCCGUCCAGAAGCCGCCGUCUUGGCACGGUGCUCCCACGGCAGUUCUGCAUUCGUUCGUUCGUUUAUUCAUCCCCGCCUUAACCCGGAGGAGCUGCUCCAUCCCCGCCAUCAUGCUGAGCAGCGGGGUGACAAACAGAUGCAUCCCGGAGUGACCAGUGGAGCAGGAAUAGAGGACACGUUGUUAACAGUUUGGCGCAACCUUUGAGGAUCCACCCACCCAUCCCCCAUGGCGAGCCCCUAACUCUGGGGAGUCCCUUAUGGAGAAAGGGGUGUUCUUGCUGAGCUGCUCAGUGGGAGUGUGCCUUCCAAGAGCUCGCAGUAGGGCC
rnacentral:lncRNA from 9 species